CACUUCGAGACACCCGCGUUCUCCGCCGAAGUCCAAUCCAUCCCGCUCACCUUCCGGAGGGGGCCUCGCACCGGCCUGCGUCGAGUAGAUUAUUUAGUGUUUUUCUUCCCUAGAUGCAGCUGUGCUUGCAAGAACCAUUCCUGGUUUCAGAAGCUAAAAAUGUAUGGAGCUAUCCGUGGUGCUGAUUCUUAGACUGCCAUUAGUGAGUAUUCAUUGAGGAUGCCAACCAAUGACAGUGGAACUGCAAACUCAGUCAAGUGGCUGUUAAGACACAAAACCCUGAUCUUAGUCACCAAAUGCCUAGAAAAACACAAGUUGCUAUUUUUGAGACAUUUCUUAAACACCUUCCCAUUUUACUUAGCUUUUAAACUAAACUCAAGUUCACAUUACCCACCAAAUCAAGGACUCCAGAGGAGAAAAGAAUACAGUGUGUGGAUUGUAAGUUUUCCGUAUAAAGUUUCAUUGCCUAUAAGGUUUCGUGACACAAUAAUACAAGAGCAAAUUAUAACAAAGCAACAUGGCUGGCUAAUACAUUUUAAAUGACUUGCCAGCUCAGAAAAUGAGAACCACUUUAAGGUAAUAACCAUUCCCAUUGUAUUUUGUAAAAACAAACGUUUUCUCUACUACAGGAUACGAAGAUUUGACAUGCAGAAGUUUACUGUGUAAUGUUUCUGCUUAUGAUUGAAUAUUUUCUCUUUAGGUAAAACUCUCAGAGCAUCUAUUAGGAUUAGUUAAUGAAAUACAUGAUAAGUUUCCAUAGCCCAUGUAAGAUAUAAGUGAGAUUAUAGGCUUCACAUUGUCUUCAACACAUUUAACAAAGAUCAGUUCUAUUCAUGAGGCUAUGUAAAAUCAUAGAAUGUUCUUCAAGAGGAAAAAUGGAAUUCUGUUCUCUAGAAUAUUUUCUCUUUAGGUAAAACUCUCAGAGUGUCUAUUAGGAUUAGUUAAUGAAAUACAUGAUAAGUUUCCAAAGCCCGUGUAAUAUAUAAGUAAGAUUAUAGGCUUCAUAUUUCCUUAGAUACAUUUAACUAAGAUCAGUUCUAUUCAUGAGGCUAUGUAAAGUCAUAUAACAUUCCAUAAUCUAUGCAUUGUAAUUGAUUGAUUUGAACAGAAGAUUAAAGGUAUCCUGUUUCUAAAUUAUCCCAGUAAUUGUGUUCAUGCAUUAUAUAUUGGCACAGUGGAGACAAGUAUAUUAAUCUAUGCCCACCCAAUAAUAGAAUAAAACCAGAGGGUGACAAUCAGGGUUCUUUCCUGGCUGGAAAAUUAUAUCUUACCAUCCUCAUCUCUUAAACUCUAACCAGAUAUUAUGGGUUUUUUGAGCUCUCAAAAUCCUAUGAAAUAUAUAGUUUAAUACCCAGUCUCCUAAUUAUGAGCAAAGAUGCAAAAUAGACUCAUAUAUCUCUUAAAACUCACAUGGUUAUUCACUUUGACUUUAAUCUAAGCUAUUAAGAAUUUAAACAUGCAAAUGUUUUAACAAUGCCUACAACAUAAUAAAUAAAUAAGCUUUAUAUAUGCUUCACAUGUGUGGUGCUGGGUAUAUUACUCAGGGAUAAACCAUGUUUCCCUAGGAUGCAGGUCGAUCUAGAUUCAAUUCAUAGCACACUUUUCUUAAGAAACCAGCAUUAAAAAUUUUCAAACAUAAUAUAUAGUUAUUCCAGUCUUUAGGGAAAGAGCAGUAGUCAUCAUGGAAUGUUUAAGUAGUAAUUUUAUGCUGAGAAGAAAAAAAAUUGAAAACUCUAUAAGCAAAUAAACGGUGUUACUUUCUCAUUAUACUGUUUCUAAAGUGGUAUUGGAAGUAAUUUGAUGAUAUUUAUGUAAAGUUUUUGUACAAUUUAGCAAAACUAUGUUACAGAUCUGAUGAUCACAAUUUGUCAUUUUAAUGGCUAUCUUAAUGUGGUCUUGUGUGAAGAUGGUGGAUAGCUUCUUACUAACUGGGUCACGUCUAACUUAAGAAACAUCUGACUCCACAGUUAUAAGUUAGGCAGAAUUUGGCUUGCAUUAGCCUCUUUAGCUCUGGAAUCUUUUAAGAGUCAGGAAUGUUGAGGUCAUCUAUUAACACAAUGAUAUAUUUGUGCAGUUUGUAAUAGAGAAAAAGUGAAGAGAAGAAUAGGGUUUAACAUUACACUAUUUUAUUAUAGUGAAACUAGGGGCUGAGAAGAUGGCCCAACUCAGUUUUCAUGAUGAGGGUUGGGAUUUCCAUCUCCCACAGAGAAGCUGGGUAAUGUGGCUUGUCUGUAACUGCAAUGUUGGGCAAGUGGGGACAAUUGAAUUCCAAAGAUACUAGCCAGGCAAUCUACUUGACUAAGUCUAACUCAAGAUUCAGUAAGGAAUGCUGUCUCAAAACCAGAUGAGGAAGAUACCUAAUAACAGUUUGGAUUUUUUAAAAUCUAUGUGAGAGAGUGCUAUUGGGAGAUACCCAAUAUUGAUCUGUGACACUCCUCCACAUGCAUAGGCAUCUCAGACACAAAAUAUUAAAACAUAAAAGAAAAUACUGAAAGUAUUUAAGAUAUAUAUAUUUGGAACAAUUCCUGGUUUUCAGAUUUGUGUGAACAAUAAGUAAAUAAGAUACACAUAUUUAACAUGAAAUCUGAUAUGUAGUAAAUGACUCAUUUUAUUGAUGAUAUAUUAAUCUGAGUAUAGAAACAAACUUUGUUCAGUAAAGGCUGAGUGGUUGUGUCCUUCCUAAGGUAUACCACAGUUAUUAAAGAAAAUAACCUGUUCAAAUGAGUCAAAGAUUCAUCAAUAAAAGAAAAAAGAAAUGCUGAUACAAUGGAACUUGAUAACUUAUGAAAAACCAUUUAUAAUAUAUUACACAUAUGUUAUAGCAAUAUUAUAAGUGGAUAUUUGAUAGUGUACAAUAGAAAAUGGUUCACAAUAUGUUUUUUUUCUUUUUUUGAGACAGUGUUUCUCUGUCUAGUCCUGGCUGUCAUAGGACUCACUCUGAAGACCAGGCUGGCCUUGACCUCAGAAAUCCACCUACCUCUGCCUCCUAAGUGCUGGGAUUAAAGCUGUGUGCCACCACUGCCUGGAUCACAAUAUGAUUUUUCAUUUAAGAAAUAACUCAGUAUUUCAAUAAAAAUUGUGAAAAUUUUACAUACCGAUUUCUUGAAGUCUGAGUAAAUAAAAAUCUUUCAAUCAGUAUUGGAAAGUAUUAAAAUUGCUUUAGCAGUCCUAUUAAUUUUGUUUUAUUUAAAUUGUGUGGUAGAGUUCUUAGGUCUAACUUGACAUUAGGUGCUUUGAAAAACUUAACUAGGAAACUAAUCUUGCUUUUCAAUAACUUAUUUUUGUGUUUCCUUCUAUAACAUUAACACUCACAAGUAAGUACUCCAUAAAUAUAUUUUGAGGUAGUUGAGCAGGACUUAUUAAAUGUGCCUUUUUGUUUUGUUUUUGUUUGUUGUUGUUUUUUCGAGACAGGGUUUCUCUGUGUAGCCCUGGCUGUCCUGGAACUCACUCUGUAGACCAGGCUGGUUUCGAACUCAGAAAUCUGCCUGCCUCUGCCUCCCGAGUGCUGGAAUUAAAGAUGUGUGCCACCACGCCCGGCUAAAUUUGCCUUUUAUUUUAAAGGAAUAAUUAACAAUUUAUGUCUAACUGAUUUUAUAGCACAUUCAAAUACUUCAGGCAAAAUGAUAGGGGUGAUUUAAGUCUUCUCUGUAGGGGAGACUGAGGAGACAAUGGGGAAAACACUGAAUCAAAUAGCUUGAAAACGUGAUUUAGUCACGAGUAUCUCUAUCAUCAAGGCAAGACAUAAAUGUUUCUGGAUGCUACACGAAGAAUAAAUAAAGUAGUAUAGUGAUUUAGAACUUCUUCAAUCUUAGCUUUAUCCCGACAUUAUAGGAUUUCCAAAAAGUUUUAGAAUACGGAUCAAAAUCCAAAAAUUUUAAACUUACAUAAAUGUUAAAGAAUAAUUGAUAAUAAUUUUAAACUUACAUAAAUGUUAAAUAAUAAUUGAAAUAUAGUAUACACAUUGUAAAGGUGCAAUGUAAUGGUUCUUUAAGAAUCUUUUCUUGUACAUGAUUUUGAAAGUUUCUAUUGUAUAUGGCCCUUAUACUAUAGCUGUUCCUCCCCAUAUUCCCAACUUCACCCCAUGCUCUCUUCCCUUCCCCAUCUGAUCAUCGUAUUCCAGUGCAGCUCCUGUCUAUCCCACAUUCAUCUACAUCUGUCCAUAGGGCCUACAUGGGUCUGCCCUAUGUACAGAUAGGCUUCUAGAGCUGAACAAGUGGAAACGUGUUGCAUACCUAACUUAGAAGCCGUUUUCAACUCAUAACCACUUGUAAAUAAAACAAUUAGUUUUCUGCAAGGAAGUCUCACUGGGGAAAUAAACCAUUCUUGAAGAUAUGGUUCAUGCCAAACAGUAGAUGCCCAACAACAGCAACAACAACAAAAACAAAAACAGACUUAGUACUAUUUUUGGAGACCAUUUUACUCAUAGUGUUGUAUCAGGGCAUUUUUUUAACCUUACAGGUCUCUUGCAUAUGUACUUUUGUCCUCAGAUUUCGUGUUUUUAAGGUAUUCCUCAGAGUAUGAUCCUGUGUCUCUGCAUUUAUCUCUAUUUCUCGUGCUGCUUUUGCUUUGUCUCUUUUUCCUCUGCUUCUUUUGCCCUAUUCUGAUUUUUUAUUUUGUUCCUAUUUUAUUUAUUAUUAUUCCAGAAAUGUCUGCUUGUUUUCUCAGGCGAGAAAGAAAGGGUAUGUAUAGAUCUGGAUGGGAGGGAAAGUGGAGAGGAACUUGGAAGAGUUAGGGAAAGGAAAACCAUAAUAGCAUAUCAUAUUAAAAUUUGUUUUUAAUAAACAAGGAAUAUAAUUUAAAAUGAUUAUCUUGAAAUCGUGAUAAGUUUACAUUUAAUCGUAAGAAACAAUGCAAAGAAACAUAAUUUACAUUUACCAGCUCUCUCUCUGUGGUAUCACCUUAGCUAACUAUGAAAGGAUGUGUGGUUGGAAGAGACUGCAAUAAGGGAGCAGGGAUCUGUUGCAUGUGUUGGUCUCUGGAAUGCUCAACUUUCUAGAUCACUGGAAUUAUUCAUGUAACCACAAAUGUGUCAUAUUUACUAGUGUGGUCUUUAAUAUCAUAAUGAAGAAUUCAUAUUAAAACUAAAUAAAGGAAAAGAGUACCAGUAAGAAUUAGAUAUAAGAUAUAUAUAUAUAUGCUUCCUGAAAUGUCUCCUCAAAUAGCUUCUUCAGAACCUGCCUGUUUUCUUAAAAGUUUCAUGACCAAACAGAUGAAGAUCUAUAAAACAGGCUACUAAGCUAAGAUUUGGUGUUCAAGGGAUUGAAGAUCAGUGAUACAAGUACACAGUGAUACAGGUACUGACUCCACCUACUGAGACAACUCCAUUUGGAUGUCAAACUGACAAAAAAUGGACCAAAGCCUUAGACAUACAUAAACACUUUAUCACUCAAGGCAAUAUUCUCAACAACUCAAUCAAAGGCUAUAGGGAAAGGUUAGAGUUUGAGAAACCCUGACAUGUGUGACAUUGUUUCACAAUUUCUAAGUCUCUUUAAAACAAAUUCCAUGGUGCGUGUGUGUGUGUGUGUGUGUGUGUAUGUGUGUGUGUUGAAUUGUUAACAAAUAUAAAGUAGUUUCAUUGUUAUAGAGAGUUGCCUUUAAAUAUCAAGUUUAGAGGAGUACAUAUGGUACCAAUAUGACUCCCAGCAUUAAUGUUUUGUUUAAGGACAAGGUCUCUCAAUAAAAUAUCACUGUGUUUAGUAGUUCAGCUUGCUAGUGCUCUCCUUGGGUUUCAGAACAUGUAUCCAUGCUCAGCUUUUACAUGGAUGUUGACAAUUUGAACCCACGUCCUCUUGCUUUCACAUCUAGUACUCUUACUUAAUAAGCUAGUACCAGAAACACAGAAUAAAUUUUAAUACAAUGAGAAAACCUAUUAUUAGAAGAUAAGGUCUUCAGAGAGAGAGAGAGAGAGAGAGGGAGAGAGAGAGAGAGAGUGCAAUAUGAGUGCUAGCAUAGGUUGGUAAGGUUUGGUAGGGGCUCAUAUUCUAUACUCUACAUCUUUAAGUGGUCUCUGAAGGUGUGGAUGGAGGCUAGAAAUAAAAAGCUUGUGAAUAAGCCUUAUUCUUUCAUCCAUAGCUCAUUGUCAAUGUCCCCAGUAUGAUUUUACUAACAACUUUCAAAUUAUUCUUUUCUCCAUUUAGAGACACACGCAGUAUCUUGGCGACCAUGUGUUAUUUAUUUCAGGAUUCCUAAUAUUGUGCUUGCCAUCUGUUACAUAGUGGUGUCCAAUACGUGUUGUUAUGAGAAAGAAGAAAGGAAAACAUUGCAGAUGAACAUAUGAAUGGACACAGAGACAAGAGAAGGGAUGGAUUAUGGAAAAAACGCAGUUGGAAGAGAUGUGGCAGAGAAAGAAAAUACAGAAGAAAAUAGUGGUUAGUGAAGAAGACAAAGAAAAAGAGAGAAAAGUAGUUAGCAAGAGAGAAAGGGGAAGAAGAGAGAACAAAGAUAAGGAAGCUAAGAAAAGAGAAGAAAAUAAAAGAAGGGAAAAGAAAGAAAAAGAAGGAAUGAUGGAAAGAAAAUGUCUUUUCCACAUACCAAUGAGAAUUUCUAAGUGAACUCUGGCCAUUUUCCUGGUUAGACUGAUACACAAAAUUGGUACGUGCUUGAAACGCUAACAGUGUCUGUAAAUAAUUUACUACAAAUAGCAUCCAUUUUAAUGACAUCAUAAAGAAGCAUAAACAUGCAUACAAAGUAGCCUGCUCAUUGGCAAAGCAAAAUCAAUCCUAUACUGAAAUUGUUAAAUGCAUCUGUAUAUUUGCAAUUAAAUAGCCUUUCUUGACUAUAAAUCAAUGGUGAUCUUAUUUCAAGUGGUCAUAUUGAUGGUACCAGGAAAAGCCAGAGCUCAUACAUGUUACUGUGUAUGAGUUAAUUUUUUUCUUAUUGCCAUUUUUUCCAUAUCGUUUUCUGUGAUGAAUUUGAAGGGAGCUUCCUGUUCGCAGAGUGAGUCACGGGAGUGCAUAAGAGGGGCCUUUCAUCUGGGCAAUGGACAAAAUGUGACCGGCCACAUCCUGCAUCUGCCACUGUGCCUUCUCCACUAUGCUGAGCAGUAACUUCAAGUGUGUGCCCAAAUAAACUCUUCUUUAAGUUGA